rnacentral:lncRNA from 1 species
AGGAAGUCAGAGAAUUAGAAAUGAGAAUAACAAAGUUCAUAAAAUAGGACAAUACAAUCCGAAUUUACAAAUGGAAUGAUUGUCCAAAAGCAAAGGUAGGGAUUAGAGGUACAAAAAAAUGGAAUUAUUGUUAGGAAUUGGGGAAAAGCCAGGAAAUAAGUUCUAGAGGGGAAAAUAAUAAUAAUAAUAAUAAUAAUAAUAAUAAUAAUAAUAAUGAAGAAAACAAACUAAAAAAGGAUAGUUCUUGCAAGCCUGAGCAGAAUUAUGUGAAAAUUUCUGAACCCUGCAGAGAUGCCUUGGAUAAGGCACCUUGUUGUAAUCUUCCAGACUAGCCCUGAAAUUAAACAGACAAAUGCUCUGAAGGUGUUGCUUGGACUUACAGAAAACAAAUUGCCAGACAUUUACAAUAUAUCUAUGCAUUCUUGUUGCCACAUUUUUUCAGAAAAAGAAAUUAUAUGAACAGAUUCUGUGCAUGGAUUUAAGUUAUUAUCAAUAUAAAGAAUACAGUAGUAUUCAUAUGUAAAAACUUGUUAUUACAUCAGAACUUGACACAAGUUUCUCAUUGCUUUGUCUUUGUUUUCAUGGAAGACAGAUGAGUAAUAAAAUCAAGUCUUUCAUUUACCUAUAGGUAACUCACGGAUGUUUGUCAAUGCAGGUUUAUCAAUAUACAGUCUGCACGGGUUUAAUACAUGACAAGGAGACAAGCAAUCUGUGGAGAAUGGCAGUGGAUGUGAUGCAGAUCAGCAAGAAAGAGAAAUUAAGGAUGAAAAGACAGCAGUUUCUGAAGAAUCAGCACACUUUGUAUUUAUAUAACGUACUUCCUCCCCCUGGUGACCUGGAGAUGAAUGAAUCUGGCCUAGAAGAUGGCAGAGGCCAUAUGAGGACAGCUGUAUUCACAAUCCCCACCUUCUGCCCAAGCAGUCUAUGGAGGAAUGAAAGACAAAAUGAAACAUAAUUCAACAUAUAUCUUGCAAACUCCUACUCAUCUGUGAAAUAUUAAGCAUCAUCAUUUUUUUAAAUAAUAAUACAAAAAUCUUGUCACUUCAGUGCACAGGAAAGAUGAUGUUCUGAGGAUGAAAACCAGCUGUGUAUAGAAUGACCUUGAUGUUUGUAAAACCAUUUCCCUUUGUUAUAGAUCUUGAAAUAAAGUAGAGGUCUUAUGCUAAAGAAAGUAGAGC